CCUACGGGGGGCAGCAGUAGGGAAUCUUCCGCAAUGGGCGAAAGCCUGACGGAGCAACGCCGCGUGAGUGAAGAAGGAUUUCGGUUCGUAAAGCUCUGUUGUUAGGGAAGAAUGAUUGUGUAGUAACUAUACACAGUAGAGACGGUACCUAACCAGAAAGCCACGGCUAACUACGUGCCAGCAGCCGCGGUAAUACGUAGGUGGCAAGCGUUGUCCGGAAUUAUUGGGCGGACAGCGCGCGCAGGUGGUUUAAUAAGUCUGAUGUGAAAGCCCAUGGCUCAACCGUGGAGGGUCAUUGGAAACUGUUAAACUUGAGUGCAGGAGAGAAAAGUGGAAUUCCUAGUGUAGCGGUGAAAUGCGUAGAGAUUAGGAGGAACAACAGUGGCGAAGGCGGCUUUUUGGCCUGUAACUGACACUGAGGCGCGAAAGCGUGGGGAGCAAACAGGAUGAGAUACCCCUGUAGUC
rnacentral:rRNA from 1 species